GACGAACGCUGGCGGCGGGCUUAACACAUGCAAGUCGAACGGAAAGGCCCUGCUUUUGUGGGGUGCUCGAGUGGCGAACGGGUGAGUAACACGUGAGUAACCUGCCCUUGACUGGGGGAUAACUGCAGGAAACUGGGGCUAAUACCUGAUAGGAGCUCGUGCUGGAUGGUGGGGUUUGGAAAGUUUCGGCGGUUGGGGAUGGACUCGCGGCUUAUUAGCUUGUUGGUGGGGUAGUGGCUUACCAAGGCUUUGACGGGUAGCCGGCCGGAGAGUGUGACCGGCCACAUUGGGACUGAGAUACGGCCCAGACUCCUACGGGAGGCAGCAGUGGGGAAUAUUGCACAAUGGGCGGAAGCCUGAUGCAGAAACGCCGCGUGCGGGAUGACGGCCUUCGGGUUGUAAACCGCUUUAGCCUGUGACGAAGCGUGAGUGACGGUAAUGGGUAAAGAAGCACCGGCUAACUACGUG
rnacentral:rRNA from 1 species